GACGUAGGGCGCGAGCGUUGUCCGGAUUUAUUGGGCGUAAAGAGCUCGUAGGCGGCUUGUCGCGUCGAACGUGAAAACCCACGGCUCAACUGUGGGCUUGCAUUCGAUACGGGCAGGCUAGAGUUCGGUAGAGGAGAGUGGAAUUCCGGGUGUAGCGGUGAAAUGCGUAGAGAUCCGGAGGAACACCCAGUGGCGCAGGCGGCGUCUCUGGGUCGGCCCUGACGCUGAGGCGCGAAAGCGUGGGGAGCGAACGGG
rnacentral:rRNA from 1 species